rnacentral:lncRNA from 1 species
UCUAAGAUUUCAUUAAUGGCUUUUUAGUCUUUACAUUUCCUUAAAUUUUGGUUGUUAGAUCAUUUUAGGCAGGAUGCAAUCUGGACUGUCCAUUUGAGUUUUAGUCAUGAAAGGAUUUGGGUCGUUCAAUCAGACGAUAUGUGCACAAAUGGGUUUUAGUCGUUUGAUCUAGCCCACGAAUGACAAGGGUGAAUUUUUCUUUAGGCACUAAUUAUUUUUUCUUCCUUGAAGAGGGCUCUGAUGCUUUUCCCCAUAAAUAGUCUUCUCCAAUUGUAGUAAUUUUUCUGUAAUAGGGACCUGAAUCACAUUAGG